rnacentral:rRNA from 1 species
GAUGAACGCUGGCGGCGUGCCUAAUACAUGCAAGUCGAGCGAACAGAUGAGGAGCUUGCUCCUCUGACGUUAGCGGCGGACGGGUGAGUAACACGUGGAUAACCUACCUAUAAGACUGGGAUAACUUCGGGAAACCGGAGCUAAUACCGGAUAAUAUAUUGAACCGCAUGGUUCAAUAGUGAAAGACGGUUUUGCUGUCACUUAUAGAUGGAUCCGCGCCGCAUUAGCUAGUUGGUAAGGUAACGGCUUACCAAGGCAACGAUGCGUAGCCGACCUGAGAGGGUGAUCGGCCACACGGGAACGGAGACACGGUCAAGACUCCUACGGGAGGCAGCAGUAGGGAACCUUACGCAAUGGGCGAAAGCCUGACGGAGCAGCGCCGCGUGAGAGAUGAAGGUCUUCGGAUCGUAAAGCUCUGUUAUUAGGGAAGAACAAAUGUGUAAGUAACUAUGCACGGCUUGACGGUACCUAAUCAGAAAGCAACGGCUAACUACGUG